GACGAACGCUGGCGGCGUGCUUAACACAUGCAAGUCGAACGGAUUGGCGAACGGGUGAGUAACACGUGGGUGACCUGCCCUUCACUUCGGGAUAAGCCUGGGAAACUGGGUCUAUUACCGGAUAGUGUUGGUUGGGCUCGCGGCCAAUCAGCUUGUUGGUGGGGUAAUGGCCUACCAAGGCGGCGACGGGUAGCCGGCAUGAGAGGGUGGACGGCCACAAUGGGACUGAGACAGGGACCAGACUGCAACGGGAGGCAGCAGUGGGGAAUAUUGCACAAUGGGCGGAAGCGUGAGGCAGCGACGCCGGGUUGGGGAGGACGGCCUUCGGGUUGUAAACACCUGUCUACAUCGACGCGGUAGAUGGAGAAGAAGCACCGGCUAACUACGUGCCAGCAGCCGCGGUAAUAC
rnacentral:rRNA from 1 species